CUACGAUCCGGUGAGUACACCAUACAGUGAUAAGAGAAGAAGGAGAAAAACCAGAGCAAAACAGCUUAUGAUAGCUUUAUCCCAGUUGUAUUGAAUUUAAACCGAUAGCUAGUUAAGUGCCUUAUGAAUUUAAUCUGAACUACAUCAGUAGGUUACGUAUAGAGUCCAGGACCAACGGGAUAGAUUGAUAAUCCCUAUGUUUAAUAGCCGUGAUACUUACCAUACAUAGGUCACGAUAGGAAGAACAUACUGCAGAACUGUUUACAAAGAUCCGUCUGUGAACCCUCUGUCGCAUCAACCAAAUCCGAUAAUCAGCGAAAUAUUAUACGGAAUCCUAGUAAAGGGACUAAACGUAAGUCCAAACAAUUUUCUAAGCAUGAAAUUAAUACCGAUGCAUUCAUAGGGGAAUCAGGGGUUCCCAUAACAACACAUACCUAGCAUCAUAAUUGUAAACCAAAAUUAAAAUCUUAUCCUACCAAUUCAAUGUAAAUCUAACAGCAGCUAUGAAACUCUUCGACAGGAAAUUAUAUUCUCCCAAUACCGAU
rnacentral:lncRNA from 1 species